rnacentral:rRNA from 1 species
UACAGAGGGGGCAAGCGUUGUUCGGAAUUACUGGGCGUAAAGGGCGCGUAGGCGGCCACCGCAAGUCGGAUGUGAAAUCCCACGGCUCAACCGUGGACGUGCAUCCGAAACUGCUCGGCUCGAGUAUGGAAGAGGGUCGCGGAAUUCCCGGUGUAGAGGUGAAAUUCGUAGAUAUCGGGAGGAACACCAGUGGCGAAGGCGGCGACCUGGGCCAAUACUGACGCUGAGGUGCGAAAGCGUGGGGAGCAAACAGG